GACUGCUCAGGUAGCCUAGUGGUUAGAGCGUCCUCCACGGAUGCGAAAGGUCGUGGGUUCAAUCCCCGAUCGAGUCA